rnacentral:rRNA from 1 species
AUUGAACGCUGGCGGAAUGCUUUACACAUGCAAGUCGAACGGCAGCACGGGUGCUUGCACCUGGUGGCGAGUGGCGAACGGGUGAGUAAUGCACCGGAACUUAUCCAAUAAUGGGGGAUAACGCACCGAAAGGUGUGCUAAUACCGCAUACGCCCUGAGGGGGAAAGCGGGGGAUCGUAAGACCUCGCGUUAAUGGAGCGGCCGAUGCCGGAUUAGCUAGUUGGUGAGGUAAAGGCUCACCAAGGCGACGAUCCGUAGCUGGUCUGAGAGGACGACCAGCCACACUGGAACUGAGACACGGUCCAGACUCCUACGGGAGGCAGCAGUGGGGAAUUUUGGACAAUGGGGGCAACCCUGAUCCAGCCAUGCCGCGUGAGUGAAGAAGGCCUUCAGGUUGUAAAGCUCUUUCGGACGGAAAGAAAUCGACGCAGGUAAAUAAUCUGCGUGGAUGACGGUACCGUAAGAAGAAGCACCGGCUGACUAACGUGCCAGCAGCCGCGGUAA